AACGCACAUUGCGCCCGCUAGUAUUCUGGCGGGCAUGCCUGUUCGAGCGUCAUUUCAACCAUCAAGCCAUAGGCUUGUGUUGGGGUCCUGCGAUUUCCGCAGCCCUCUAAAAGCAGUGGCGGGCUCAUUGUCAUACCGAGCACAGUAGCUUAUCUUUGCUUCGGAGGUGGCAGUAGGUACCAGCUAUAAAACUAUCCUAAGGUUGACCUCGGAUCAGGUAGGAAUACCCGCUGAACUUAA
rnacentral:misc_RNA from 1 species